GCCCAUGUGGUAGGGUCAGGGACUCACUCUUAGUGGGCUACGCCGGAGUUCGCCGUCUGAGGACGAAGGAAGAGAACAACCAGACUAGCUGCUGGGAAGCCUGUCGAUAGGCUGAACAGUUAGCGAAGCGCUAAUAUAUCGACUACACUCGUAGAAGCUUAAGUCACGAUGCUUUUGGACGAGGGUUCGACUCCCUCCGUCUCCACCA
rnacentral:tmRNA from 1 species